rnacentral:tRNA from 1 species
CGUAGCUCAGCUGGUUAGAGCGUCUGCCUGUCACGCAGAAGGUCGCGAGUUCGA